AGUUUGAUCCUGGCUCGGGACGAACGCUGGCGGCGUGCCUAAUACAUGCAAGUAGAACGCUGAAGAGAGGAGCUUGCUCUUCUUGGAUGAGUUGCGAACGGGUGAGUAACGCGUAGGUAACCUGCCUUGUAGCGGGGGAUAACUAUUGGAAACGAUAGCUAAUACCGCAUAACAAUAGGUGACACAUGUCAUUUAUUUGAAAGGGGCAAUUGCUCCACUACAAGAUGGACCUGCGUUGUAUUAGCUAGUAGGUGAGGUAACGGCUCACCUAGGCGACGAUACAUAGCCGACCUGAGAGGGUGAUCGGCCACACUGGGACUGAGACACGGCCCAGACUCCUACGGGAGGCAGCAGUAGGGAAUCUUCGGCAAUGGGGGCAACCCUGACCGAGCAACGCCGCGUGAGUGAAGAAGGUUUUCGGAUCGUAAAGCUCUGUUGUAAGUCAAAAACGAGUGUGAGAGUGGAAAGUUCACACUGUGACGGUAGCUUACCAGAAAGGGACGGCUAACUACAUGCCAGCAGCCGCGGUAAUACGUAGGUCCCGAGCGUUGUCCGGAUUUAUUGGGCGUAAAGCGAGCGCAGGCGGUUUGAUAAGUCUGAAGUUAAAGGCUGUGGCUCAACCAUAGUUCGCUUUGGAAACUGUCAAACUUGAGUGCAGAAGGGGAGAGUGGAAUUCCAUGUGUAGCGGUGAAAUGCGUAGAUAUAUGGAGGAACACCGGUGGCGAAAGCGGCUCUCUGGUCUGUAACUGACGCUGAGGCUCGAAAGCGUGGGGAGCGAACAGGAUUAGAUACCCUGGUAGUCCACGCCGUAAACGAUGAGUGCUAGGUGUUGGAUCCUUUCCGGGAUUCAGUGCCGCAGCUAACGCAUUAAGCACUCCGCCUGGGGAGUACGACCGCAAGGUUGAAACUCAAAGGAAUUGACGGGGGCCCGCACAAGCGGUGGAGCAUGUGGUUUAAUUCGAAGCAACGCGAAGAACCUUACCAGGUCUUGACAUCCCGAUGCUAUUUCUAGAGAUAGAAAGUUACUUCGGUACAUCGGUGACAGGUGGUGCAUGGUUGUCGUCAGCUCGUGUCGUGAGAUGUUGGGUUAAGUCCCGCAACGAACGCAACCCCUAUUGUUAGUUGCCAUCAUUCAGUUGGGCACUCUAGCGAGACUGCCGGUAAUAAACCGGAGGAAGGUGGGGAUGACGUCAAAUCAUCAUGCCCCUUAUGACCUGGGCUACACACGUGCUACAAUGGUUGGUACAACGAGUUGCGAGUCGGUGACGGCAAGCUAAUCUCUUAAAGCCAAUCUCAGUUCGGAUUGUAGGCUGCAACUCGCCUACAUGAAGUCGGAAUCGCUAGUAAUCGCGGAUCAGCACGCCGCGGUGAAUACGUUCCCGGGCCUUGCACACACCGCCCGUC
rnacentral:rRNA from 1 species